UUUUAACACGAAGUGAGUGGCGGACGGGUGAGUAACACGUGGGUAACCUGCCCAGAAGCAGGGGAUAACACCUGGAAACAGAUGCUAAUACCGUAUAACAGAGAAAACCGCCUGGUUUUCUUUUAAAAGAUGGCUCUGCUAUCACUUCUGGAUGGACCCGCGGCGCAUUAGCUAGUUGGUGAGGUAACGGCUCACCAAGGCGAUGAUGCGUAGCCGACCUGAGAGGGUAAUCGGCCACAUUGGGACUGAGACACGGCCCAGACUCCUACGGGAGGCAGCAGUAGGGAAUCUUCCACAAUGGACGCAAGUCUGAUGGAGCAACGCCGCGUGAGUGAAGAAGGGUUUCGGCUCGUAAAGCUCUGUUGUUAAAGAAGAACGUGGGUGAGAGUAACUGUUCACCCAGUGACGGUAUUUAACCAGAAAGCCACGGCUAACUACGUGCCAGCAGCCGCGGUAAUACGUAGGUGGCAAGCGUUAUCCGGAUUUAUUGGGCGUAAAGCGAGCGCAGGCGGUCUUUUAAGUCUAAUGUGAAAGCCUUCGGCUCAACCGAAGAAGUGCAUUGGAAACUGGGAGACUUGAGUGCAGAAGAGGACAGUGGAACUCCAUGUGUAGCGGUGAAAUGCGUAGAUAUAUGGAAGAACACCAGUGGCGAAGGCGGCUGUCUGGUCUGUAACUGACGCUGAGGCUCGAAAGCAUGGGUAGCGAA
rnacentral:rRNA from 1 species